rnacentral:tRNA from 1 species
UUAAUUGAAACCAAAAAGAGGUAUAUUACUGUUAAUGAUAUCAAUGAGUUAAACUCCAAUUAAAAAG